rnacentral:rRNA from 1 species
UACGAAGGGGGCUAGCGUUGCUCGGCAUCACUGGGCGUAAAGGGUGCGUAGGCGGGUCUUUAAGUCAGGGGUGAAAUCCUGGAGCUCAACUCCAGAACUGCCUUUGAUACUGAAGAUCUUGAGUUCGGGAGAGGUGAGUGGAACUGCGAGUGUAGAGGUGAAAUUCGUAGAUAUUCGCAAGAACACCAGUGGCGAAGGCGGCUCACUGGCCCGAUACUGACGCUGAGGUGCGAAAGCGUGGGGAGCAAACAGG